UUUUUUUCUUAUUUGUUGUUUUGUAAAGUGGCCGAAAUUUUAGGCGGGGGAUUGUAAAUCUUCUAACA
rnacentral:tRNA from 1 species